rnacentral:ncRNA from 1 species
UAUUAGGUUUUAUGGUUGCAAGUGCAAUAAUAGGGAAUGAGGUUAGAAUCCUCAACAGCCCCCGCUACUGUAAUAGCUACGAAACUCUUAAAAAACCACUAUGAAUAAUUCAUGGGAAGGUAGAGAGAAGUAGGUUGGAUGCUAUAAGUCAGGAGACCUGCCAUAAAAUAA